CUGACGAGUGGCGGACGGGUGAGUAAUGCUUGGGAUUCUGGCUUAUGGAGGGGGAUAACGACGGGAAACUGUCGCUAAUACCGCGUAUUAUCGGAAGAUGAAAGUGCGGGACUGAGAGGCCGCAUGCCAUAGGAUGAGCCCAAGUGGGAUUAGGUAGUUGGUGGGGUAAAGGCCUACCAAGCCUGCGAUCUCUAGCUGGUCUGAGAGGAUGACCAGCCACACUGGAACUGAGACACGGUCCAGACUCCUACGGGAGGCAGCAGUGGGGAAUAUUGCGCAAUGGGGGGAACCCUGACGCAGCCAUGCCGCGUGAAUGAAGAAGGCCUUAGGGUUGUAAAGUUCUUUCGGUAUUGAGGAAGGUUGAUGUGUUAAUAGCACAUCAAAUUGACGUUAAAUACAGAAGAAGCACCGGCUAACUCCGUGCCAGCAGCCGCGGUAAUACGGAGGGUGCGAGCGUUAAUCGGAAUAACUGGGCGUAAAGGGCACGCAGGCGGUUAUUUAAGUGAGGUGUGAAAGCCCCGGGCUUAACCUGGGAAUUGCAUUUCAGACUGGGUAACUAGAGUACUUUAGGGAGGGGUAGAAUUCCACGUGUAGCGGU
rnacentral:rRNA from 1 species